rnacentral:lncRNA from 1 species
UUUAUCUUCCUGUUGGGCGGAUUAUAAAACAGAAAUAAAUACACACUGAUUCUAUCCACUUGAGUGACGGAAUUGGUAAGAUAUCAAAAAAUAUUUUUAUUGAGCAAAUCGGUCAUAUCUUAUAAUAAGAUUACAUUGUUUAUUUGUUUUGUUAUGAAAACAUUUGCCCAAGUUCCAAUGCAAGAGAGAUAAUCAUAAUCUAAACCAAAACACAUUUCACUCUGUCAUAUAUCGUGCAAUUGCCACUGGGGUAAAGCUGAUGACCGUAACUGCAUUCACGGUCAUCCCAAGAUGUCGGAUGAAAAAUUAGGUCCGUAUCUGUUAAAAGGUUCACACCGAAAUCACAAAUAACUACCGAGAAAUGUUCAUGAAACAGGAAAUUCAAUUUGUAAAAAUCGCUAAGAUGACCGUAAAUCAUUAUCAAAAUAUUUUCAAGAUGACCGUGUUUGGUAAACAGAUGACCGUAACUUGUAAAGGAUGACCGUUAUUUGUAAAGAAUGACUGUAAUUUAAAAAGGAUGAUCGUAUCUGUCAAAGGACCAUAAUUCUAAAAAUAUCCGUAAUUGUAUUCAUAGCUUUUUGUUGUGUUUGUCUCAAUAUGGGCUCGGUUAGCAGAUAUAAACAUGUUUCAUCAAUUUCUUUUUAACUAUUUGCCGUAGUUUGAGAUCAUGACAAUGAUAGUAAAUUGCAUAUUUCUCGUAAACAAUGAAAUAUUUAUUGGUUAUACGACAGAAAUAUUUUAUUGGUAACGACUUUAAAAUGUUAAUACAAAUUGACAGAGAUAAGACGAAAAGUUGAAGAGACUAGAAUGGGUCCCUAGUACACGCAUGCCUCAUCUACACUUUAAUUUUCUAUGUUCAGUGAACCGUUAAAAUGGAGGAAAACCUGUAAUUUGGCAUUAUGACGAACGGCAAAACGGAUGCACAGACCAGAAAACAUAAUAACCAUAAAUGGAGCAUAAAAACAUUAAUCAAACAUAUGAAUAUAGUGGCGGAUCCCAGGAAGGGGGGCCUUGGAACCCCCUUUUUAUUUACCGAUCAAUGCAUUUGAAUAGGGACAUAUAGUUUGAACCCCCCCGUUUUACCCUGGGUUGGGACCCCCUUUUCUUAAAUGGCUGAAUCCGUCCCUGCCCCUUGUGAUACGUUAUACGUACAAGACUAUUUUAAGGAUCUAUUUUUCUUGAGCUUACCUUCACUAGUUUGGUCGAAGUAUUUUAAAAACCAUGAAAACAGGUUCUGUGUUUUUACUUGCAAGACAAAAUAGAAAACCAAUCAAAGACGAUAUAAUAUCAAUGGGUUUACAUCCAUUAGCAUUUUUAAAAAAGUGUAUUUAUUAUAUGUCAUAACAAGGAAUUCCAGAAAUAAAAAAAAAUCUUUUGGCUUUUAGCUGGAGACUGUGCAGCACAAUUUUUAUUUUACUUUACGUUGUUGCAUGUUUCCCCACUUUUGUGCAUGUCUUGUAUGUUCAUUUUAAGAAUUAUAUCCUCUACCGUAAAAAAGAUAUAUAUGGUGAACUAUGUAUUAAAAGCAAGUCUUAUUUUCUUCUACCUGUAGGAUAAUACUCUCAUAUAAAUACUUUUUAUGCCAACACCAUUAAUCAUUUGAUACAAAAAGGUAGUUAUACAAAUACGGAUAUUUCUUAGAAUUGACGAUCAUCCUUUAAAAGUUACAGUCAUCUUUUAACCAAUUACGGUCACCCUUGUUAUGAAUGGUUGAAUCUGUUACGGUCAUCUCGAUUAUGAUUUACGGUCAUCUUAGCGAUUUUUUCAAAUCGAAUUUCCUGUUUCAUGCACAUUUCUCGGAAGUUAUUUGUGAUUUCCGUGUGAAUCUUUUAUUAAUUUACAUCGUAUCAAUGUCUCCCUUGUAAAGAAAAAGAUAUAGAAACACUGUAACAGACAAUACAGAAACUGACCUAUUUUUUCAUCCGACAUUAUGGGAUGACCGUGAUUGCAGUUACGGUCAUCAGCUUUACCCCCGUGAAUUGUACACAUACACAAUAAAUACAUGUAUAUAUAUAUAAAGCGUAGACUUUAAGGACCGAAUGUAUAAAAUGUACAAUGUGAUCUUCAAUCCUGAAAAAAUUGCAUUACCAUAUACAGAGUGUAAUCAUGCCACACACUUCAUGAAAGCAUAACUAACAAGUCGGGUUUUAAUAAACCGCAUCAUAUAUCAAAAACUCAGUACUUUACGCUGCAUGUACUGAUGCAUUUGACCAAGUCUGAUAAUUCAUUUUAUUUGAUUAAACAGACAGUCUUAAAUUUAAGUUAAAUAUAAUCGAUAUUUUGUGAAUAUUUUAAAUAAAUUUUAAGUUUUCGGUUAAACGUUUCGUAGAAGUAGAUUUAGUAUAUGCGUGAUACAAAAUAAAUUUUAAAAUUAAGAAAAUAUAAUUGUUUAAUUCGUAAAAGUAGAUUUAUUAUACAUGUUAUAUGUUUAAUACAAAAUAAAUCUAAAAUUUAAGAAAAGUCAACUGUUCAAUUAAACUACCCAUAAAAGUAGAUUUAUAAUAGGUAUAAUACAAAAUAAAUAGAAAUUUAGUCAAAUAUAAAUGUAUGAUUACACCACUGAUAAAACAAGAUUUAUUACAUGUUUAAUAAUCAAAUAAAUCUAAAAUUAAACCAAAACAAUAUGCUGAAUUAAACCACUCGUAAAAGUAUAUGUAUUGCCUUUAAAAAAAAAUAAACACUUUAUACAAUAACAUUUUUUUCAAUUAAAUCUUUCAUAAAUGUAGAUGUAUUCCUAUAAUGUAAAAAAAACUGUACUAUCAAUUAAUUCCACUCUUCAACUCUCAAAUUGUUUUUACCUGUUUUAUGUAACUCUGUUAUUUUUACAUUCCAACCUUUCAUUUGUAACACCGCCACCACCCGACAAUUACACGUUUAUUAUCGGGCAUUCAACUCUGCAAAAAAAUUUAAAACUACACGUUUUAAAUUGCUUCUGGACCAUUUUUCUUGAUCCACCUUCACCAGGUAAGCUCAAAGCCAAAUAUUUCACGACAAUAUAUAACAAAAAAUGGCCUAGAAAUAGCCAAAUAUAUCUUAAAUCAACUUAGCCUGAAGGAGAUAUUUUUAAACGGAUUAUUUUAUUACGGUCUUUUAUAAAGCAUUUCAAUGGUAUCCCAUCAUGCUGAAAAAAAAAUAAAAUAACACGUUUUAAGACUUCCGAAGCGCUUUUCUGGAUUAACCUUUACUCAGAAUGCUCUAAGCCGAGUACUUGUGAGACAAAUAAGAAUAAAAACAAAUCAUAUGAAGAACUGGAACAGGGUCUAAAAAAUAGCCAAUCUUAUCUAUGGCAACUUUGGCUGAGGGAGUUGAAACUUUAGUUUGUUUUAAACUUCGAUUACAAAUCAUGUCAGUACUGAAGUACUGAAAUACCGGAAUACUGAUUACUUGGCUGAUGAUAACAUCGAAGCAUCCCAAGUGUUGUAAAACAUGUAUAGCCACAUGUUAUGAAUUUGAUGCACCUUUAUUUAUUGUAAUUCAAAAUAUGAUCAUUGUUUUCUGUACUUGCAACAGUGAGAAUUUGUGCUAUAAACUUUCUCUAAAUUUGUAAUCGCAUAGGUUGAACUUAUUGACAACACAUCAUUUAUCAUGUUACUAAGAAUAAAAUCGGACUAUAUUCACGAUAAAAGUUAAAAAAAACGAAACUUAUGGUCAUACAGAACAAAAAUCAAGACCUACAAGAUAAUUUUCAUUCCAUUUUUUAGAAAAAAAUGUAAUGUAAUAGUGAAUUGUGCCAACUGUAUAUAAGUAAGGAGGUCAAAGUAAAUAAAACACAACAUAUUUCAUGUCGCGGAUGACAUUUCUAUAAAGAAAUAUAUAUGUGCCGAGAAAUAUUUGUCAGUAGCUAUUUGUCAUUGCUAGAGGCCUGUGUUCCGGUUAAAAGCAUCUUUUUGCAAAGUACAGUUGUAAAUAGUGAUGGCAUAACUAUAUCUAAAUAAAUUCCUUUUAUUUUUAGUUGUAUUUACCAUGGCAUCAUCAAUACCUCCUUGCGGUCCAUGUGAUAUCCAGCAUAUCACCAAACCAUCUAUAGUCUGGUGCACAGAAUGUGAAGAAGGUUUAUGUCCACAAUGCCUAAAACAUCAUACUGCUUCUAAAGCAUCGCGAAAUCAUGAUACCAUGCCGAUAACCGAAUAUCAGGAAUUACCAAGUGAUGUUAAAAAAUUCACCGAAAACUGUGAUAAACAUAAUGAGAAGUACACAAUUUACUGUAGAAAGCAUGAAUGUCCCUGCUGUGGUGGUUGUGUCGUAGAAGAUCACCUCGAUUGCAAAGACUUCGUCAGAUUAACCAACAUCAUCGACAAAGCCAAAACAUCGGAGUCUUUAAAUGAAAUUGAACAGUCGUUAUCAGAAAUGGCAGAAAAUAUAGAGAGAAUUCGUCAGAAUCGAGAAAACAACAUAAAGACAAUAUCCGAGAAAAAGCAGCAUAUUGAAAAGGAAAUCAAGGAAACACGGGCCAAAAUCAACAACCAUUUGGACAAAAUACAGGAUGCCAUAAUAGAAGCAUUGAAUACAGUUGAAAAAAAAGAAACAGACCAAAUAAGACAAUUGAUUGCCUUAUUAGAUGGAAAGAGAGCCGAAAUUUCAGAACACCAAAAAAAUGUAAAAACAAUUAAACAACACGCAACAGAUUUUCAGAUGUUUUUCUCUAUAAACCAAUUUGAAAAUGAAGUUUCCUGCAAUGAUAAAUUCCUACAAUCUUUAGUCGACAGAGACAACUUACAAAAUAUAGAAUUGUCAUUUCAUCCCAGUGCCGUCUUACACAAAUUCGUAACAGAUAUCCAGGAAUUUGGAGACGUCAAGAUUGAGAGGAAAUCAUAUGAUGUAAUCCUAUCAAGGAAGAAAAACAAACAAGCCCAAUUGUUGGUACCACGCGUCUCAAGUAAGUCAGUCGAAGAUAUCAAUAUAAAGCUGCAAAAAACUGUGGAUAUCAAGGGAUGUAAUACCACGGGUUGUUGUUUGUUACCAGAUGGAAGAAUGGCGUUUACGUUUUAUGAUUCGAAUAUUGUCAAAAUAUUCAAAACUGACGGCUCAAAAGAUUUUGAAGUUCAAACACCAACACUUGCAUUUGACAUAGCGUACAUCAUUGAGGACAACACACUAGCUGUAACAUCCGGAGAGUCAGGGAGACAAAGCAUAACAAUUAUCGACAUACAAAACAAAAAUAUAAAGAAAGAAAUACCACUUCAUAGUUAUUCUUAUGGCAUAACGGUGAAAGAUAAACAAUUGAUUUGUUCUGUAUUUGUAAAAGGAAUACACUUGAUCGAUCCGGCUAACAACUCAACAAAUGAAAUAGUCUGCAAAUGCAUACAACUGCCAACAUAUUGUUACGUUGCACAUUUUGGUGAUAAAAUUUACCAUGCAAAUUGCCAAACCGACUCUGUGAUAUGUUAUGGGUUACAGGGUGCAGCACAAUGGACAUUUAAGAACAAAAUCCUAAGGAGACCAUUUGGUAUAUCUGUCGACAAUGAUGGUAACGUAUACGUAGUAGGACAUGCAUCCACAAAUGUAGUAGUUAUAUCUGCCGAUGGACAAAAACACAAAGAAAUACUAACAGCAAUUGAUGGUCUUUCCAGUCCUUAUUCUCUUAAUUAUGAUAAAAGGACAAAUCAGUUGCUUAUUGCAAAUUGUCAGAAUACUGCAAUGAUUUUUUCUGUAGUUUCAAUAAAUAAAAUUUAACAUUAGAUAAAACAAAGACUUCCCUUAUGUAUUUUAAGUUAUUUCAUUGAAUUUGUUCAAAUUGGAUUUAAAAGAAAUAGUUUAUCCAUAAUUUGACACAUUAAAACAUAUGCUACAUUAACAAAUUAUCCAGUGAUCAGUGAAGGAUUGUAUUUUGAUAUUUGAAUUUGA